rnacentral:rRNA from 1 species
AGAUACACCUGUACCCAUGCCGAACACAGAAGUUAAGCCCUAGAACGCCGGAAGUAGUUGGGGGUUGCCCCCUGUGAGAUAGGGAAGUCGCUUAGC